rnacentral:rRNA from 1 species
UACGUAGGGGGCGAGCGUUGUCCGGAAUUAUUGGGCGUAAAGGGCUCGUAGGCGGUCUGUUGCGUCGGGAGUGAAAACUUACAGCUUAACUGUGAGCGUGCUUCCGAUACGGGCAGACUUGAGGUAUUCAGGGGAGAACGGAAUUCCUGGUGUAGCGGUGAAAUGCGCAGAUAUCAGGAGGAACACCGGUGGCGAAGGCGGUUCUCUGGGAAUAUCCUGACGCUGAGGAGCGAAAGUGUGGGGAGCGAACAGG